CCCUUAGAGUUUGAUCCUGGCUCAGGACGAACGCUGGCGGCGCGCUUAACACAUGCAAGUCGAGCGAGAACCAGUCCUUCGGGACUGGGGACAGCGGCGAACGGGUGAGUAACACGUGGGUAAUCUGCCCUCGGCACCGGAAUAGCCCGGGGAAACCCGGAUUAAUGCCGGAUGGCCUCUCUGCCCCUCGGGGCGGCGAGAAAAGGUAGCUUCGGCCUCCGGCCGAGGAUGAGCCCGCGGCCGAUUAGCUUGUUGGUGGGGUAAUGGCUCACCAAGGCGACGAUCGGUAGCUGGUCUGAGAGGACGAUCAGCCACACUGGGACUGAGACACGGCCCAGACUCCUACGGGAGGCAGCAGUGGGGAAUCUUGCGCAAUGGGCGAAAGCCUGACGCAGCGACGCCGCGUGCGGGAAGAAGGCCUUCGGGUUGUAAACCGCUUUCAGGAGGGACGAAGCCACUCGGGUUAAUAGCCCAGAGGGUGACGGUACCUCCGGAAGAAGCCCCGGCUAACUACGUGCCAGCAGCCGCGGUAAUACGUAGGGGGCUAGCGUUGUCCGGAUUUAUUGGGCGUAAAGAGCGUGUAGGCGGCCAGGUAGGUCUGGUGUGAAAACUCGAGGCUUAACCUCGAGAUGUCAUCGGAAACCAUCUGGCUAGAGUCCGGAAGAGGAAAGUGGAAUUCCUGGGUGUAGCGGUGAAAUGCGCAGAUAU
rnacentral:rRNA from 1 species